rnacentral:rRNA from 1 species
UGCCAGCCGCCGCGGUAAUACGGAGGGAGCUAGCGUUGUUCGGAAUUACUGGGCGUAAAGCGUGCGUAGGCGGACUUUUAAGUCAGAUGUGAAAUCCCAAGGCUCAACCUUGGAGCUGCAUUUGAAACUGGGAGUCUAGAGAUCAGGAGAGGUUAGUGGAAUACCGAGUGUAGAGGUGAAAUUCGUAGAUAUUGGGAAGAACACCAGUGGCGAAGGCGGCCUGCUGGGCUUGUUCUGACGCUAAGGCGCGAAAGCGUGGGGAGCAAACAGGAUUAGAUA